AUGGAAAUUAGCAAUAAUCUGUCAACUGCAAUUUGUUUUCUCACGCCCCCUUCCAUUUUCCUCAUCGUUUCCCCUGCGUCACUUCUGAGCGCCCUGUUGUAGCGGAGUUGUCACGGCAACGACGUUCUAUCUCUUCUCCAAACACUUCGUGGGCCAAGCACAUGUUUGAUUUUGUUUGAGGGCGUCUCCUGCAAAACUGUAAUACAUAUUUGAUGACUAUUCAAUGUUACUGCCUAUUAAGUUAUGUAAAAACCUCAAGGAGCAAAUGCUUGGAUGGUAUUGCUGAGGAAAAUGUCGAACUCGAUCCCCUUUAAUGAUUUCACCCUGAAAGGCUCAUCUUCGAAUGGACAAAUUCAAGGAAUGGGAUCAGGCGCCUGUAGAAGUGGCUGAAGACAGAAGUGUGGCAGUCGAGUACACAUGAUGGGACCAGAGCUGCCAACUACCCAACAGGGGCCAUGUCGAUGCCCUUUUGGAUAUCAGCGAUGAUACCUCAUCCAAAGAGCAGGAGCCAUUUUAGUUUAUCUGUCUCUCCAGAUGGGAGGAAGCUAUCCGGGGCUGGGGCAGAACUACUCCACUUGGCUGCCUGGUUCAGAUCCAGAGGAGAGGAAAGAGGGUCAAGACUGGAGACACAGACCACCACUGCCACCUGUGUGUGGACCUUGUGAAGUUCUCGGAUCCCCUUGACUCUGAGUCCAGCGUAACCCACUCCCCUGAGUCCUUCUGGGAUUCCUCCCUGGACUCAUGGGAG
rnacentral:lncRNA from 13 species